UGCGUAGGUGGUUUGUUAAGUCAGAUGUGAAAGCCCCGGGCUCAACCUGGGAAUUGCAUUUGAUACUGGCUAACUAGAGUGAGGUAGAGGAGAGUGGAAUUCCCGGUGUAGCAGUGAAAUGCGUAGAGAUCGGGAGGAACAUCAGUUGCGAAGGCGGCUCUCUGGACCAUCACUGACACUGAGGCACGAAAGCGUGGGGAGCAAACAGGAUUAGAUACCCUGGUAGUCC
rnacentral:rRNA from 1 species